rnacentral:rRNA from 1 species
AUUGAACGCUGGCGGCAGGCCUAACACAUGCAAGUCGAGCGGGGUUUUCGGACCUAGCGGCGGACGGGUGAGUAAUGCGUAGGAAGCUACCCGAUAGAGGGGGAUACCAGUUGGAAACGACUGUUAAUACCGCAUAAUGUCUACGGACCAAAGUGUGGGACCUUCGGGCCACAUGCUAUCGGAUGCGCCUACGUGGGAUUAGCUAGUUGGUGGGGUAAUGGUUCACCAAGGCGACGAUCCCUAGCUGGUUUGAGAGGAUGAUCAGCCACACUGGAACUGAGACACGGUCCAGACUCCUACGGGAGGCAGCAUUGGGGAAGAUUGGACAAUGGGCGCAAGCCUGAUUCAGCCAUGCCGCGUGUGUGAAGAAGGCCUUCGGGUUGUAAAGCACUUUCAGUAGGGAGGAAGGGUGUUGUGUUAAUAGCACAGCAUUUUGACGUUACCUACAGAAGAAGCACCGGCUAACUCUGUGCCAGCCGCCGCGGUAAUAC